rnacentral:rRNA from 1 species
UACGGGGGGGGCAAGCGUUGUUCGGAAUUCCUGGGCGUAAAGGGCUCGUAGGUGGUCAACUAAGUCGGACGUGAAAUCCCUCGGCUUAACCGGGGAACUGCGUCCGAUACUGGAUGACUUGAGUUCGGGAGAGGGAUGCGGAAUUCCAGGUGUAGCGGUGAAAUGCGCAGAUAUCAGGAGGAACACCGAUGGCGAAGGCAGGUCUCUGGGCAUUAACUGACGUUGAGGAGCGAAAGCAUGGGGAGCGAACAGG